GCAAGUCGAGGGGUAACAGGGAUUAGUUUACUAGUCUGCUGACGACCGGCGCACGGGUGAGUAACGCGUAUACAAUUUACCUUUUACAGGAGGAUAGCCCAGAGAAAUUUGGAUUAAUACUCCAUGGUAUUAUAGAAUCGCAUGGUUUUAUAAUUAAAGUUUCGGUGGUAGAAGAUGAGUAUGCGUCCUAUUAGCUGGUUGGUAAGGUAACGGCUUACCAUGGCAACGAUAGGUAGGGGGUCUGAGAGGAUUAUC
rnacentral:rRNA from 1 species